rnacentral:rRNA from 1 species
GACGAACGCUGGCGGCGUGCUUAACACAUGCAAGUCGAGCGGUAAGGCCCUUUCGGGGGUACACGAGCGGCGAACGGGUGAGUAACACGUGGGUGACCUGCCCUCAGCUCUGGGAUAAGCCUGGGAAACCGGGUCUAAUACUGGAUAUGACUCCAUGACGCAUGUUGUGGGGUGGAAAGCCUUGUGCGGCUGAGGAUGGGCCCGCGGCCUAUCAGCUUGUUGGUGGGGUGANGGCCUACCAAGGCGGCGACGGGUAGCCGGCCUGAGAGGGCGACCGGCCACACUGGGACUGAGACACGGCCCAGACUCCUACGGGAGGCAGCAGUGGGGAAUCUUGCGCAAUGGGCGAAAGCCUGACGCAGCGACGCCGCGUGAGGGAUGACGGCCU